rnacentral:rRNA from 1 species
UACGUAGGGGGCAAGCGUUGUCCGGAAUCAUUGGGCGUAAAGCGCGUGUAGGCGGCCCGGUAAGUCCGCUGUGAAAGUCGGGGGCUCAACCCUCGAAUGCCGGUGGAUACUGUCGGGCUAGAGUGCGGAAGAGGCGAGUGGAAUUCCCGGUGUAGCGGUGAAAUGCGCAGAUAUCGGGAGGAACACCUAUGGCGAAGGCAGCUCGCUGGGACGUUACUGACGCUGAGACGCGGAAGCGUGGGGAGCAAACAGG